GGGGAGCGGGGCUGGUCCCGGCUCUCCCAUCGCAGGGCACAACCUGCACUUUCCCCUUCCCCGCACACGGGGCGGGACACAAGAGCCCCGGGGCGUGAGGUCCCCCGGGCAGAGGCGCUGGCUGUUGAGCUGGGGCCAGCACCAGCACGGCCCAGGGCCCCGCGGCGGGCAGGAGCACCGGGCACGACCUCCCCAGCACAGAGACUUCAGCACCAAGUCCUGCAGUUUGGAAGGGAAGAUAUGUCAUUGGACAAGAUGGUGCCCACUGGGGCAUUGUGGGAACAUCUCAGAUCCUGCCUGGCAUGGCCACAGCCCUUGAAGGAGGCAGGACAGGAUGAAACCGCAGAGCCUCAGGACGAGCCCCUUUGGGUCCCCAGGAAGGAGCUCCUGCCCCAGCAGGACCCAGAUCGCCUGAAAAGAGAGGAGACCUGGGAGUGGUCAGCUCAUGAAGGCUCCUCAGGCUGGUGCCCCAGAGCAGGCCCUUGUCCAGGAGCAGUAGGUGCAGGGACCCCGAGCAGAGCUGAGGAGGAGCCUCGUGAGGAAGGGCCUGGAAACCUGGAACUACAGGGGACUCCCCCAGGGAGACUGGGGGAAGGGGGCUCCCUGACACCUGAUCCAGGCCAACUGCACGUGGGGCAGGACAAACCCCCAAAG